UUUCUGUUGACUUUUCUUAACGAAAAGAUGUUUCACAAUUUCUGGUUCUUCGUCCUAGGGAGUGCUGUCGGUGUCAAAGUGCUUCAGGUCCCCUCAUUGACCCUUCUCAGGGGGCAGCCAGCUCAGCUCAACUGCACUGUGGAAUCCAGAGAGGAGCUGACAUUUGUCAGAUACUAUUGGUAUAGAACAAGAGACAAUAUUGCUGUUCAGAAUAAUAGAUUUCCAACGUUCAUCGAUGAAACCUCUCGUAUAUCUAAAUCUGGGAGUUCGCUUGUGUUUAGCGAGGUGAUAGUGAAUGAUUCAGACACAUAUUACUGCUGGAUACUUGUAGAGGAACCUUUGCCCCGUAGAAACUUCACCGGGAAUGGAACAGACCUGAGGAUCCAAGCGAAACCCCAAAUCAGUGUCUCAGCUGAUCCGGAGAGUGGGACCUCUGGAGUUCAGACUCUGACCUGUGUGGCUGCGGGAUUUUUCCCGAGAGAUCUGAAUGUUUCCUGGACGGUUGCGGGAGAUGUACCGCACGAGACAGAGUCCGCAUCUCUCACAGUGAACGACGACGGGACCUUCACUCUGAGCUCACGGCUGAGCCUCCAAACCCCUGACUGGCGCCUGGGCUCUGCUGUCACCUGUCAGGUUCAGCACAUCACCCUCAUCCCACCGGGUACAGAGAGGAUCAGCUUCACUGCGGGUUUUUCUAAGUAUCACUUCAGCCUGUUGAGUCUCAUCAUCAUUGUCAUCUUGCCAUUUUGUGUCUGGAUCAUAAGGAAUCAGCGGGCUAAAGGGAAGAAUGAAGAUGUAUCAAUCUGCAAAGAUGAUAGAAAAAUAGGCCAAAGAGGAAAUGAAUCAGGUCAUGAAGAAAAUACGUUUCGCAGUGAGGAUGCACAGAAUUAUGCCUCUAUUAUCUUCAAAGAUCCUGUGAAAAGAAACAAUAAACAACUGCAAAUGCCAGAUCCUGACCACACGACAGAAUACGCUGCCUUGAAGGUCAAAGAUAAAAAUAAACAAUUCUAUGAAGAUUCGGUUUAUUAUGCCACAGUUACGGUACAGCCCACAACAUACAGAAGACAAACUGAUGAAUGCAAUGCAACCACAUUUGCCGUGCUCAAGUAAAACAUGUUUAAUAUGCUGUUUCAUCACCAGGACCUGGAUGAGCAAACUCGUCACU